rnacentral:rRNA from 1 species
AACGCGAAGAACCUUACCUGGGCUCGAAAUGGAGUGGACCGGAGCAGAAACGUUCCUUCCCCGCAAGGGGCCGCUUUAUAGGUGCUGCAUGGCUGUCGUCAGCUCGUGUCGUGAGAUGUUGGGUUAAGUCCCGCAACGAGCGCAACCCUUAUCCCUAGUUGCCAUCGGGUCAAGCCGGGCACUCUAGUGAAACUGCCUCGGAUAACGAGGAGGAAGGUGGGGAUGACGUCAAGUCCUCAUGGCCUUUAUGUCCAGGGCUACACACGUGCUACAAUGGUCGGUACAAACCGUCGCAAACCCGUGAGGGGGAGCUAAUCGGAAAAAGCCGGCCUCAGUUCGGAUUGGAGUCUGCAACUCGACUCCAUGAAGCUGGAAUCGCUAGUAAUCGCGGAUCAGAACGCCGCGGUGAAUACGUUCCCGGGCCUUGUACACACGAGACGAC